rnacentral:rRNA from 1 species
GACGAACGCUGGCGGCGUGCCUAACACAUGCAAGUCGAACGGUGAAGCACAGCUUGCUGGGUGGAUCAGUGGCGAACGGGUGAGUAACACGUGGGUAACCUGCCCUCAAGCAGGGGAUAACACUUGGAAACAGGUGCUAAUACCGUAUAACAACAAAAACCGCAUGGUUUUUGUUUGAAAGAUGGUUUCGGCUAUCACUUGAGGAUGGACCCGCGGCGUAUUAGCUAGUUGGUGAGGUAAUGGCUCACCAAGGCAAUGAUACGUAGCCGACCUGAGAGGGUAAUCGGCCACAUUGGGACUGAGACACGGCCCAAACUCCUACGGGAGGCAGCAGUAGGGAAUCUUCCACAAUGGACGAAAGUCUGAUGGAGCAACGCCGCGUGAGUGAAGAAGGGUUUCGGCUCGUAAAACUCUGUUGUUAAAGAAGAACAGGUGUAAGAGUAACUGUUUACACCGUGACGGUAUUUAACCAGAAAGCCACGGCUAACUACGUGCCAGCCGCGGUAAGAC